rnacentral:rRNA from 1 species
UACGUAGGGUGCGAGCGUUGUCCGGAUUUAUUGGGUUUAAAGGGUGCGUAGGCGGUUCUUUAAGUUAGUGUUCAAAUACGAUGGCUUAACCAUCGGUCGGGCAUUGAUACUGGGGAACUUGAGUAAGGUUAAGGCAGCUGGAAUUUGUGGUGUAGCGGUGAAAUGCUCAGAUACCACAAGGAACGCCGAUCGUGAAGACAGGCUGCAGGGCCUUUACUGACGCUGAGGCACGAAAGUGCGGGGAGCAAACAGG